rnacentral:rRNA from 1 species
AUUGAACGCUGGCGGCAGGCCUAACACAUGCAAGUCGAACGAGUGGCGGACGGGUGAGUAAUGUCUGGGCAACUGCCUGAUGGAGGGGGAUAACUACUGGAAACGGUAGCUAAUACCGCAUACCUUCGUAUGUGCCCAGAUGGGAUUAGCUAGUAGGUGGGGUAAAGGCUCACCUAGGCGCCGAUCCCUAGCUGGUCUGAGAGGAUGACGGGGCAUGCGGGAACUGAGACACGGGCCAGACUCCUACGGGAGGCAGCAGUGGGGAAUAUUGGACAAUGGGCGCAAGCCUGAUGCAGCCAUGCCGCGUGUAUGAAGAAGGCCUUCGGGUUGUAAAGUACUUUCAGCGGGGAGGCGUUACCCGCAGAAGAAGCACCGGCUAACUCCGUGCCAGCAGCCGCGGUAAUAC